GACGAGCAUCACAAACGUUAUUCGGAAUUACUGGGCUUAAAGGGUGCGUAGGCGGUGCAGCAAGUCGGGAGUGAAAUCCCACAGCUCAACUGUGGAAUUGCUUUCGAUACUGCUGUGCUUGGGUGAGACAGAGGUAAGCGGAACUUAGGGUGGAGCGGUGAAAUGCGUUGAUAUCCUAAGGAACACCGGUGGCGAAGGCGGCUUACUGGGUCUCUACUGACGCUGAUGCACGAAAGCCAGGGUAGCGAACGGG
rnacentral:rRNA from 1 species